GUGCCAGCAGCCGCGGUAAUACGUAGGUCCCGAGCGUUGUCCGGAUUUAUUGGGCGUAAAGGGAGCGCAGGCGGUCAGGAAAGUCUGGAGUAAAAGGCUAUGGCUCAACCAUAGUGUGCUCUGGAAACUGUCUGACUUGAGUGCAGAAGGGGAGAGUGGAAUUCCAUGUGUAGCGGUGAAAUGCGUAGAUAUAUGGAGGAACACCAGUGGCGAAAGCGGCUCUCUGGUCUGUCACUGACGCUGAGGCUCGAAAGCGUGGGUAGCGAACAGGAUUAGAU
rnacentral:rRNA from 1 species